UACAGAGGUCUCAAGCGUUGUUCGGAUUCAUUGGGCGUAAAGGGUGCGUAGGCGGCGCGGUAAGUCGGGUGUGAAAUCUUGGAGCUUAACUCCGAAAUUGCAUUCGAUACUGCCGUGCUUGAGGACUGGAGAGGAGACUGGAAUUCCUGGUGUAGCGGUGAAAUGCGCAGAUAUCAGGAGGAACACCGGUGGCGAAGGCGGGUCUCUGGGCAGGUAACUGACGCUGGAGGAGCGAAAGCGUGGGGAGCGAACAGG
rnacentral:rRNA from 1 species